ACUGUUCAGUUUAUCAAUUAAUUCCAAAUCCUCCUCUAAUGACACUUCAAUGUGUGACAAUUCCUCAGAUGUAUCACCUACAAAGGACGGCUCAGGUUUGGUGCUCCAUGAGUUCACAAAAUGCAGGCUCACCGGAGCAGUCAUGUGGAAGCUCUUAUGUUUGUUAUGGAGACUUGCAGUAAAACCCUGACCUACGAAAUCAGUUGGGGGUUGACCUUGACUUCAGUAGGUCCAAGAUUCCCAGACUGUAACUUCAUAGUUAAGAAUGAAUUGAGUUUUUUGCUUAAAGCAGAACUUUAAAGUUUAAAGCUAAACCUCUUUGCUAUGUACGAGGAAUACAAUGUACCUUCGCCAAAUUUAGGGCACUGAGUACUGUAACCCUUCGGCCAAUGGCAUCGGCAGCAGCAAGGGCCAGCGCCUUCUUUCUAGAUGAUUUGCUACAAUUUGCUUAAUUUUGGCUCGGGUCCCCACUCAGUAAUCUGGGCCCCUAUAUCCAAUCUAGGCGCCUUUGAUAGGCAAAUCCAUACCUGCUUGCUCUACCACCUCCUGCUAUAACAGUUUCAGUAGCUAGGACAGAGAGACCUCACCAAAGUCUUUAGGCCAGUGUAGACGGAUGCUGUAGACUCCUCUGCUUCCACCAUAGUCCCCACAGCAGCUCUCAGUCUGCUUGCAAGCUGUAGGUGAAACCAGUUGCCACUUUGCUCCACUCACUGCUGGCCAGGUGACCAGAACUGCAGAGGGGUUCUGUCCUCCACUUGCUCUAUGACUAGAACCACUGCUGAGCUCUGCCCAUAUCAGGCAACUGUAGCUUUCCGCUCAGAUUUUAUUUUUUGUUUUGUUAUGGUACCAGGGGAAUCAGUGAUCUAAGAGCCCCCUUAGAGUUCUUACCCCUACGAAAGCAGUCCCAGCAAUUAACCAAGAACGGACAAUCUCUCUUUUUUCUGGAACUUGGCCUCCUUCUGUCCAAGGGCUCUUACCUGACCGUGACAAACAUCAGUCUUCUUCUGGGUGACCCUGUACUCAGUCAUUGUUCAGGCUUUGCCCAGAUCGUUCCCACCAGAGUAAUCUCCCAAAUAUGGGCCGCAAGUUCAAAACUCAGCCAAGUUAUACCCCUAUGUCCCCAAACUAUCUGAAGUUCAUAUGUAAAUGUGGUGCUGCUUUGCUCAGUCCACUCCUCUUGCUCUCCAGCAGAGAGCUGACUCUGUUACCUUCCUUCUUUCCUAAGCUUCAGGCCACAGGGCUGACCGUACUGACUGACUUCUCUGAGGAUUUACAAGUCAAAUUUAAUUAGUUAAUGUUAAAAUCAAUCAAAAGUGAGCUUUUAAGGAAUGCAGCACUUUGGUUCACCUUUACUUUGACUGAACGAUCGUAAUAACAGAGUAAGACACACAUUUCUAUGUAGUUAAACCUCCUAGAAAACAUGUGCAUAAAUGAUUUUGAAAAAGUUAGGUUGUAAUUAAGUUAUGUUAUUAAUGAUUGAUGUUCAAUUGUUGUAAUUCCAGUCAUGGAUAACUCAGAUCCUUCUUAAGUAGUGCCACUGUGAUGGUUAGCUACCACAGGGAUGAGCAGCCAUAUAUUAAAAACAACAACCCGAGAUAGUGCUGUCAGAGGUAACAAAGCCAAUCAAACCUCUUCCUUUUUAGCUAAUUCUGUUGCUGAAGUGGAGCGGUGGAGAGAGUGGGAUGGAAUCAAGAGUCCUCACCGGUACAUUUUUUGACUCCAACUAUCACAAGAUCGGCCCCCAGCUGUGACUCCUCCUACAGAUUUUGUGUAAAAUUAUGGCUUGCGUAAAGUGGGGACAGGCACACCUUCAUCACCACUCCUACGAGGUCUGGGGAGGAGCUGAAGAGAAACAAUAACUACACAGCCCAGCACUUUGCUAUUUGUAAAGUCCUGUGUAGGCUUAUGGCCCUUCAUUCUUAGAAGAGAGGGCGUGACUAGAAUAGAAUAACUAGCGAAAUAGAUAAAAACGGAGGGAAAGGAAGAGAGGGAUGGGGAGAGUGAGAGAGAGAAAGCAGGAGAAAGAAACAGAAAGACAGACUGGGAGAAGGUGAAACAGGAAUAGGGAAAGUGUUGGAGGGGAAAGGGAAAAACGUAUUGGGGGACAGAGUGAGGGAGGAGAGAUACAAUGGAACUGCUCUCCUGGCUCGGGUCCCAGCUCCCAUCCUUCUGGAACAGCUUCACAACACUUGGCCUCUCUUGUGCUGUCUUUAUCCUGCUUUUCGAUCACAUGAAGCGCAGAAAGAGAUGGAACAACUACCCCCCGGGUCCUGUCUCCUUCCCUUUCAUUGGGAACUUGCUGCAGAUCAAUUUCCAAUGUCCUCGCCUUGCCUUAACAGAGGUAAGUGCCAGAGGGACAGAUGCCUUUCACUGACUGGCAGAGAGGGUUGGUGAUAGCAGCCAUGCCAGAUCGGUUUCCAGUUCUUGUGUGGCAGCUGAACUGCACUUAUUAUUUACUGCAUUGCAGGAAGAUUUCAAUCUAUAAAAGGAGAAAAGCUAAACAGAAUAAAAGCAAAGCAAAAACCAUCCCUAAUUUUCAUCAUGUGAACUUGUGACAUGCCCGUCUCACUGUAGGUGGUUGGUUAAUUGUUGAUCAGUAAUACAUUAUGGAACCAUAUGUAUAUGAAAACUGUAAACCAGUUUGCAUCGUUCACUAUACUUGUUAAAGUAAAUGUUAACAUAAAGAAAGCAUUGACACUAGUUCACACUACUCUAAUGGUUGAGAAAGCCGCAAUGUAAGUGCCUUAUUCCUCAUUUGGGUCCUUAAACUAGGACUUGGACGCACCCUCCCAAGGGGUGUGUGUAAACUGGAGAAUUACAUCACUUUAACAAUGGGUCCCUGUAGGGAGCCAGGGUGGCUCCCUUCCGAACCAGAGGGUAAAGCGCCACCCUCUGAGCCUGAGUGGGCGGGGCCAGGCCAAGCUUCCGCCAAUCCCCGGAAGGGGAAGGGUGGGACAGGAAGUACAAAGGGCGGGGCCCUCUGCCCAGUGAGGAGAGCACCAGGGAGGGAGACAGACACGGGCUGCUGGCUGCUCCCUCGCGAUCCUGCUGCCGACCCAGGCGAAGCCCUGGGCAAGGAGGAACCUGACCGGGGGGAAGGCCUGUGGCAACCAGGGCUACCGGCCGCUGAAUACCCGGAGGAACCGGAGCUGCCCGCAGCGGAUUACCCGGAGGAGAUGGAGGGACCGGAGCGACCCGCCUGAGAGAGACCGGGUAGGAAGUAGCCCAGCGGCCCAACUACACCGUGGGGUGGGUGUGUUUGGUCAGCGGGUGCGGAUUGCCCCGCUGACCCAGCGGCGGGACCUUCGCCUCCCGCCACUGUCAGGGCCCUGGGCUCGAACGCAGUGGAGUUGGGUGGUCCUGCGUUCCCCUACCCCGGCGCCCCCCUGCCCGAGGGGCGCGCUACUGACUCGGGCCGGCGCACCUCCCUGCUAAUUCCCCAAAGCCCGGGAGGUGGGGCCGAGGCCUGCCACGGAGACCAUUGCUCUCCAUCGCCCCUAGGGGCUCGGAAGACCGACCGCCACCCGUCACAGUCCCAUACACAGCUGUACAGUAGAGCUGGUGGGAAUGUCUUUAUUGAACCGUUUUUUAGACCAGAAAUGCUGGUUUUGAUGACUAUUCCCUGGGGGUGGCCUUUUGAAGGGAAAAUGUGUUGACUUUGGAAAAUGUUUGUUUCCGAGUUCUUCAUUUCUAAUUAUUUUUAUAUUAUUUCGUAACACAUCAGUAGCAGUACUAUUCCGAGCGCUAUUACCACUGACAUGUUACGGAUAAAAUGUAAUCCUAUACAAAUAAAAAAGCCCCAUGUAACAAAACAGCAUUAGAAUCCAAACGUCCAGAUUUCAAAAUGACAUUUUGAAACAAAAACUUUCCAAAACAGAACUUUGUUGGAAAUGUCAAUGUCUGGGAAAUUCAUUUUCAUGCUGGAAACAAAUUUCAAAACAUCAACAUUUCCCGCUAACUGGAAAUUGAGUUUUGACCAACGCUAAUGGACAGCUGAGUAUUGGUGCAGCGAGACAGGACUUUGAAAGCCAGCAAUGUUCUUUAUGGACAAAGAGCGAUUGGGAAAUUAAGAUGGCCAGGGAGAGGGACACUGAUUGGCUUCCCACCCAAAUCUGCACGGCAUGAUCUGAAAACGUGGAUCCCUCCUAGCAGGUUUGGGCAUAUUCCCUCUUGGGUCGACAGCCUUACAGGGAUUAAGCACUCUGCAGUCAAAGCCCCUGUGCCCUCUGCCUGCCACAGACUAUGCUACAGUGUCUCUCAUGUUAAGGUACAGCCUGUGUAGCUGGUUUUUCUCUUUAAUCCUGUUUUUCUUUUUUUAUCUCUUUGCCCUCUUACUUGACAGCCCCGUGAGAAGUCUGGGAAGAUCUUCUCUCUUCAGGUUGGAUGGAAAAAUGUGGCCAUGCUGAAUGGGUUAGAAGCUGUAAAGGAAGAAAGAGGCAGCUGAUAAACAAGUUUGUCCUAGAGAAAGAAGCCGGGUGGAUGAGGGGGCUCUGAUGUCAGGGUGUCCGUCCCCUCUGUACCUCAUCUCUGCAGGGCUCAGGAGUGGGACCUGGGACAGAGCUUGCUGGCGGCGGCUGCUGCUGUGUCCUAACAAGCGGCUUCAGACUUGUCCGUGCCAUCUACUUAAAGGGGCAGCGCGUGUGUCUCUUUCACACAGUUACACACACACACCCUAUGUGUGUCUCUCUCUUACACUCACCUCCCAACACAUACUUACGUUGUUGUUGUUACUUCUUGAUAUUUCCUGCAAUGCACACAUGUUCUCUGUAAUUUUAGUCUUUCAAAGUGCUGUUGUUUGAGUUUUUUGACUGGUCUAUGCCUUUCAUAAUUUUUAUUUCUCUCUUAGGCUUAAAUUUAAUUCUUUCAGUCGUGAGUUCUAAAAUGCCUAAGAUGUCCUGGCUGGAGUAAUUAGCCCUAUGGUAACUUUUAAAAAAUAUAUAUUAUGUCUAGGUUUUUUGUUCCUACUGGUGGCGCACAUCCACACAUUACCUCGAUACUGGUGCACAGAACAAAAUUCAUUCCACACCUGGAUGGAAAAAAUUAGAGGGAACAUUGCACAGGACUAUAAAAAGAAGUAUGCAGUGUAGUUGUAGCCAUGUCAGUCCCAGGAUAUGAGAGAGACAGGCUGGGUGCUGGCUCUAUAAAAAGAAAAGGAGAGGACCCCUUAGCUAUCCACCCCUUAAGGGGCAAAAGAGGCCAGUGUUCUUGAAAGCUGUGGAAAGUGGGUCCAUCAGCCAUGUGGGUUGAAGAGGCUGAGAACUGACUGGAGGUGAGAAAUGCCUCAGACCAGGAUUAUAAUCUGUUAAACUGUAGAAACUAGAAAGUGUGUUUUCUUUUGUUUUAUUUGUAACCAUCUUCUGCUCCUAUUAUCUCUGCUUAAGAUCACUUAAAUCUCUGUUCUUUAUUAAUAAACUUAUUCAUGUUUUAUUAUAAA